rnacentral:tRNA from 1 species
UCCUGGUGGCUCAGAUGGUAAAGCAUCUGCUUAAAAUGCAGGAGACCCAGGUUCGAUCCCUGGGUCGGGAA